rnacentral:lncRNA from 1 species
CAAGUCAAAAGGAUACCCAACCAGCAUGGUUUAAAUGGAACCUGUACCCUUGCAGAUUUACCAGUGAAAAACUGGCCCAAGAAAUGGGCAUUCUGGAGGCUAGAAUCCAGAUUUGCUUUGAGAGAUAAUGUCAGAUAAGACAGAAGUGAUUUUGACCUCAGCUUUGGACUCAUGAAUGCCUCUCCCAAGAAGUCAGGAAAAAGUGGGCAGCAAUUAUUAGAUACCAGACUAGUGUCCACAUCCAAGCCUUUGAGAAAAAUUGCUUUCCUAGCAUCACCACCAAAGAGAAACUGGUAAAACAGACAGGCAUUCCAGAGUCCAGAAUUCAGAUCUGGUGUCAGAUCAAAGGAUCAGUCGUGCAGGCUAGAGCAGAAGUGGGCCUGUAAAUUCUCCAGCACUA